CAUAAUGAACCACCCCAUCAUUCUCAAGGUACGCUACAGCCGUCCUUUUCUAUUUCCUGCUAUUCCCCUUAUCAUUUAAUGAUUCAUUUCUUCCUUUCAAACCUUCCUUCAUUCGCAUUCUUCAAACCCUUUGUUCACUUAUGAGCUUUGGAAUAUGGCGGUGUGGGUGAUUUUCUAAAACUUGAUGCCAAUGGCGAUCGUCACAAGGGGUCGCUACCUUGAGAAGCUGUUCAAAUUCGUUGACGACCAAGCGGGGCCUUUGAUUGAUGGAACUAAGGUUCUGAAGCUCAACCCGGCGGGGCUCCAUUACGUGCAGUCUCGGCUCCAAGCGUUGCAGGAGCUCGACAGACUUCUAGUGGGAGCUCCAGUUGACUAUCUACGUGCCUACGUCUCGGACCUUGGGGACCACCGUUCGCUCGAGCAGCUUCGGCGGAUACUACGCCUCCUAACCACUCUUAAGGUGGUAUCUGCCUUGGCCCCUCCUGCGCGUGAUCCCACGCCGCUCUCGUUGCUCCCGUUUGGAAGACUGAAGGUUCUGGAACUCAGAGGGUGCGAUUUGUCGACCUCAGCAGCCAAGGGGUUGCUUGAGUUGAGACAUACUUUGGAGAAAAUUAUUUGUCAUAAUUCAACCGAUGCUUUGCGACAUGUGUUUGCCAGUAGAAUUGCUGAGGUAAAGGGCUGUCCACAGUGGAACCGCUUGUCCUUUGUAUCGUGUGCAUGCAAUUGCCUGCUACUAAUGGACGAGUCUUUGCAACUUCUUCCCUCUGUUGAAACCCUUGAUUUGAGUCGAAACAAGUUUGCCAAAGUGGAUAAUCUUCAAAAAUGUGCUAAGUUGAAGCACUUGGACCUUGGAUUCAAUCAACUGCGAUCCAUCUCAUCAUUUAGUGAGGUCUGCUGUCAUGUUGUUAAACUAGUUUUGAGGAACAAUGCUCUAUCUACAUUGCGUGGGAUUGAGAAUUUGAAGUCACUUGAAGGGCUUGAUGUUUCCUGCAAUAUUAUUUGCAAUUUUUCAGAGUUGGAGUUCAUUGUGGGCCUCUCAUUUCUACAAAGCGUGUGGCUGGAAGGGAAUCCACUAUGUUGUGCUCGAUGGUAUCGCGCACAAGUUUUCAGCUACUUCAGUCAUCCAGAAAAUUUGAAAUUAGAUGACAAGGAAAUUAACACCACAGACUAUUGGAAGAGGAAGAUUAUCGUUGCCAGCAGACAGAAACGACCUUCAAGCUUUGGGUUCUAUUCUCCCGCAAAAGAUGAUGCUGAAGGAGAGGGGUGUAUCAACAAAAAGAGGAUAAUGGUAUCUCGACUUGCCUGUAUUGAGAGUGAACAAGACAGCACUUAUUUUUGUUCUGAUCUAGACUCUGUAUCAUGUGGUAAUGAAACUCAAAGCAGAGAGAAAAUCUUAUCUGAGGAUCUAGCUGAAAUAGUUGAUCUGAUAAACAGAGUAGAACAAUUGAAGAAAGAGCGUUCUAUUCUAUGGUUGCAGGAGUUCAAGGAUUGGAUAGUUCAUGCUUCUAAGAAUUCUGCAGAUGGUGGUAACUUUAAUGCAACUAUGUUGCAUCCACAGAAACAAAAUUAUAAGAAAAGUGGGAAAAGUAAGAGGCAUCUUAUUGAAAGUUCAAGACGCAUUUCAAAGUCCAUUCAAGCUUCAGGGGAUGAAAGUAGGUUGAGUGUGUUAGAAUCUGAUGGUUCUUUUGCAGAUACGUCUACUGGUAUGCAUGCCAAUGGGUAUUUUGACCAUAUUUUUCCCCCAGGUAUUACUGGUGGGUUCUCUCUACCAGGGUUGAGAACAACAGAUAUAAAACAAGAGUAUCAAAAGAAUUACUUGCAUGAUGAGAAGAGUAGCGGAUCCAUGCAGGCAGAGAGUGCUCAUCACGGUAUUUUUUCUGUCCAAGGAGGUAAUAGGAUGCUUGAAAAUGCCAGUGUAUCACAACUGAGUACUACUGAUACUAUAAUGGAGUCCAAUUCUUCAUCUGCUUACCCUGGAUCGCCGCCUCAUUAUCAGAACGACCUUUUGCAUCGUCGCCUCAAUUUGGUGGAAGAAAUCUUGCAGUUAUCUGCAGAGUCCUAUUCAGUGGCAUCAUCAGAUAGUGAUACUAGUUGUACUGAAGAUGAUUAUUGUGAAGCUGGGCUAUCUGUCUUGGAAAAUCACAACAGGAGUGUUGAAGGGCAUUCUUCAUCGCAUCCUUUUGAGGAGGAUUAUUAUGAAAAACAGAAUAAGAUUUCGCAAUUGAGCGAAAAUGACAUCUGCCUCAUUGAUUCAUGUGCUGAGCAAACCUUUAGUACCACCAAGAUUAUUGGUACAGACCAAACCACUCAAUGCCCAGUAACUUAGAUAUGGGUUCUCAUGAUCCAGGGAUAUCUUCUUUUGUGAACCAGGAGGCUGAUUAGUUUGAUAAAAUAGAAGGAAACCCAAAAGGAAGAGAAUCCGGAGGUCAGUGGGGCAGAUAUUAUUAUAUUAAAGAAAUGAAAGGGAAGCACCUCUUAAAAGGGGAUGCUCAUCAGAAAGAUUUUGACAAAAAUCUGAUGAGAAAUGCAAUUUCAAUGCCUCAACUUGAUACUGCUGCGAGUUGUUCCUAUGCUAAAUGCUUUUCUUAGGGGAAAAGUGAUUAUAUUGCGUAUUACUUCAAUGAAAAUGUUGCAGCAUUAAGAGUUAGGGAGACUUGCAAGCUAUAUAUGCGUUGCAAGUGUGUAGUUGACCUGUCCCUUCCCAAAGAAAGAGAAGUAGCUAUAGUAUUGAACAGUGAGGAAAAGUUCUAUAUGCUGCUUGUUAGUGUCACUUUUGAUUGAUGAGGUUGGAUUAUGAAGAAAUGUUUUACAAGAGGAAUCCUUACAGCGAAAGAAUAAAGGCUUCCAAGCCCAACUGCGACAUGGGUCAGUCCUAAAUUAACUUUUCAAGCUAUAGGUUUGUAACGGGAUGGCAUUUCGUUAAAAGUCUAUUCUCCGAACAUAUACCCUAGUUACGCACCUUAACCUUUCUCAGUAAUCCGUAGUGAUGUGUAGGGACCAUCUAGGGUAAGUGAUCAUUUGCGUGUAUGGGUAUAUCACCGCCCAUGAUGAAUAAUCACGAUAUAUCCUUGGAUAGAGUGUAAGGUGAAUGGAAUUCUAAUUUGGAUAGGACUCUUCGCAAUGAAAGAAUUUUGUCUAUUUCAGAAGUUGAAUUGUUGAUC